rnacentral:rRNA from 1 species
UACGAAGGGGGCUAGCGUUGCUCGGAUUUACUGGGCGUAAAGGGCGCGUAGGCGGAUCGACAAGUUGGGGGUGAAAUCCCGGGGCUCAACCUCGGAACUGCCUCCAAAACUGUAGGUCUUUGAGUAUGGGAGAGGUGUGUGGAACUCCGAGUGUAGAGGUGAAAUUCGUAGAUAUUCGGAAGAACACCAGUGGCGAAGGCGACACACUGGCCCAUUACUGACGCUGAGGCGCGAAAGCGUGGGGAGCAAACAGGG